UAAUUAAAAACAAUUAACAGCAUGUUGUACUUCAGUAAUUACAAUUAUGGAGGCUACAAAAAAUAAGCCUUGACAGGUGGCCCCCAGGAAGUGACUUGGGAAACCGUGUGUUAAUGUAUUGUGAGGAAAAAAGAAUAAUGAACUCAGUGGGGAGGAGAUAGCCUGACGGAAACCGCAUCCAGAGGUGUGGAAAAAAAGUAGAGUGGCUUGUUACAGAAUCGCUGAUCGGCUCUGCCUUUUAAAAAAUUUGAUUCCAGUUUACCUUUUUGCCUUUUUGUCCCUGGCUGGAUUAGGAAUUUGUCAUCAGAGCUUCAGCGCUUCUCACCGACAGAGCUGCCGGCAGACUGUGCGUUCGGCAGCCGAGUCUUUCCAGGCUUGCGUGGUUUUCACCGAGGUCAGAAGCGGACACCUGCCUGGUGAUGUUUUUGGAGGUCUGCGGGGGGUGCGCGCAUCCCUGCGGCAAGUUAUCCGUGAGGAGCCUGAUUCUGAGACCCAGGAUGAUCGGCGCCUGCAGCUGCUGCAGGAGGCUGCCGGAGCUCCGGUCUGUCGGGGGACCUCCUGACGUGCACUGCCAGAACAAAGCCUUUCUCUCAGGGAGCACCCCCUUAACCUUUGUCUUACUGGACUGACCCGCAAGGCAGUGGUAGACAGCAGGGUGAGAGCUGAGCCUGACUGUCAAUGCUCCGGGGUCCAUCUGGACUUCCCUACUGUUUUAGUCCGGCCAUGAGAUGCCCGGUUAUGGUCGCCAUGGGGAAGCACAGUUGGGGUCUUGAUAGUUGAAGCAGGAGAGGCUCUGUAUUGGCAGGGGAAGAUAGCCUACGGACACAUAUACAUGCACACAUGCACACAGUGAUAAUGGAAUUAAAUCUGUGGCAUGUAAAGAAACCUGUGGCACAUUUAAGUGGUUUUAAAAAAUGCUAAUUUGUCAUGGCUAUGGUGGGGUUGUCAUAAGCAUGGUAGAUUGUCUCUGCGUGGUGUAAUUGUGUUCUGCUGGCAG